AAGAAAAAAAAAAAAAAAAAAAAAAAAAAAAAAAAAAAAAAAAAAAAAAAAAAAAAAAAAAAAAAAAAAAAGAAAAAGAAGAAAGAGGAAAACUUCAAAUACUAGCAUAGCUGCGUCGUUCGACACUUUUUUUCAUCUUAAUAUUAUGUGAUUUAAAAUAUAUAUAAUUUUAUAUUUUAUAAUUAUUUUUAUUAUUUUUUUGUUAAAUUUUUUGUUAGAUCAACGAUAAAGUUAAAAUCGUAGGGUAUUAAAGUAAAAAUUCGGUAAAUUAUGAAAUAUUAAAGUAAAUAUUUGAUAAACGACAGGUGGGGGUAUCUGAAAUUUUUUGUAUAUGAUUUAACAAAGAGUUAACGAAGACGCUGACAAAAAAAAUAAAAUAAAAUUAUAGAAUACUAAAGUGAUAUAUUUUAAAAUACAAGAUACUCAAAUGAGAAAGCGUGAAAUCAUAGUAGUGGCAUUUGAAGUUUACCAAAAAUAAAAAAGGGGUAAACUUCAAAUACUAUCUCCGUGGUUUCGCACUUUCGCACUUUAGUACCUUAUGAUUUAAAGUGUAUCAAUUUAGUACCCUGUGGUUUCUUUUUUUUUUCGUCAGCCAUUUCAUUAAUUUUUCGUUAAAUUAUAUACAAAAAAACUUCAGAUGCCUAAUCUAUAAUUUAUCGAAUAUUCACUUUAGUACCCUUUAGUUUAACUUUGUCACUGAUUUAAUGAAAAAAAUUAAUAGAGAGGAUAACAAAAAAAAAAAAAAAAAAAAAAAAAAAAAAAAAAAGAAAAAGAAGAAAGAGGAAAACUUCAAAUACUAGCAUAGCUGCGUCGUUCGACACUUUUUUUUCAUCUUAAUAUUAUGUGAUUUAAAAUAUAUAUAAUUUUAUAUUUUAUAAUUAUUUUUAUUAUUUUUUUGUUAAAUUUUUUGUUAGAUCAACGAUAAAGUUAAAAUCGUAGGGUAUUAAAGUAAAAAUUCGGUAAAUUAUGAAAUAUUAAAGUAAAUAUUUGAUAAACGACAGGUGGGGGUAUCUGAAAUUUUUUGUAUAUAGUUUAACAAAGAGUUAACGAAGACGCUGACAAAAAAAAAAAAAAAAAUUAUAGGAUACUAAAGUGAUAUAUUUUAAAACACAAGAUACUAAAAUAAGAAAGCGUGAAAUCAUAGUAGUGGCAUUUGAAAUUUACCAAAAAUAAAAAAGAGGUAAACUUCAAAUACUACCUCCCUGGUUUCGCACUUUCGCACUUUAGUACCCUAUGAUUUAAAGUGUAUCAAUUUAGUACCCUGUGGUUUCAUUUUUUUUUUCGUCAGCCAUUUCGUUAAUUUUUCGUUAAAUUAUAUACAAAAAAACUUCAGAUGCCUAAUCUAUAAUUUAUCGAAUAUUUAUUUUAGUACCCUUUAGUUUAACUUUUUCACUGAUUUAAUUAAAAUAAUUAAUAGAGAGGAUAACAAAAUGAUAAAAAUAAAAUCAUAAGGUAUAAAAAUAAUACACUUUAAAUUAUAAAUACUAAAAUGAGAAAGUACGGAAUUACAAGAAUGAUAUUUGAAAAUUUUUCAAAAAAAAUGGAGAGGCUGCAGGCAGUAGGGGAGAGAGAGAGAGAGAGAGAGAGAGAGAGAGGAAU
rnacentral:lncRNA from 1 species